rnacentral:rRNA from 1 species
UACGUAGGGCGCAAGCGUUAUCCGGAAUUAUUGGGCGUAAAGAGCUCGUAGGCGGUUUGUCGCGUCUGCCGUGAAAGUCCGGGGCUCAACUCCGGAUCUGCGGUGGGUACGGGCAGACUAGAGUGAUGUAGGGGAGACUGGAAUUCCUGGUGUAGCGGUGAAAUGCGCAGAUAUCAGGAGAACACCGGUGGCGAAGGCGGGUCUCUGGGCCGAUACUGACGCUGAGGAGCGAAAGGCGUGGGGGAGCGAACAGG